ACAGUCAGAACGCACCAUCAUAGCAGUGGAGCAGGACCAGCUGGGACAGUGUCCUUCUGUGACACCUGCUGCAUCACCAGGCUGUGAGAAUGAACUCAGCUGCCAGAACUCACAGAAUAUCAGUAUCAGCACUGAAACCUCACAGGAAAAAUGCUCCAUGUUUAGCUCCACGAACUUCAGACUUAAAUAGCAUCACUCAAACUAGAACAACAUCAGCUCCUUCCCGGGUCUCCAGCUGCACGACACUCAAACUAGAAUAACACCACUCACCCUUGGAUCUCCAGCUCCACAAACCUCACACUAGAACAGCAACACUGGUUCCUCCGUGGAUCUCCAGCUUUACAACCUAAGACAUGAGUAGCAGCACCAACUCCUCCCAGGGACUCAAGCUCCAGGACCCUCAGACUUGAACCGCAGCACCAGCUCUUCCCCAGGUCUCCAGCUUGAUGACCUUCUGACUAAAAUGACAGAAUGAUCAGCUCCUCCCUGGUUUUCCAGCUCCACGGCCCUCAACUAGAACACCAUCAGCUCCUCCGUGGAUCUCCAGCUGCAUGACCCUCGCACUAGAACA
rnacentral:lncRNA from 1 species